AUCCCAGAUAAGCUAAAGAAUGGUGCUUAAUCUGAUUCAUAGGAGGCCAAUAUUAAUUCAUAUGGAAGUUUCGCUGAUAACUCCUUCCCUAAAAAUUCCCUAGAAGGUGUUUACUAGUAGCUUUCCAUACAUGU
rfam:Daucus carota subsp. sativus cultivar DH1 chromosome 1, whole genome shotgun sequence.